UCACACUCCGGGUGUGCACUAGUCUCAAGCCCUGAAUACCACGUGCAGUUUGUCCGCUGGACUUGAUCAAGGUCUCUUUCUCUGCCCUCAAAGCCUACUUGACACUGUCAACAGAAGCAGCAAAGAAGCAAAACCGAGUAGGAAGGAUGUUCCACGAUGCCUCGGUUUCACAGUCAAACAAAGGACAGGAAGAAGAGCUCAGUGAAUAGAUUCCCAUCAAGUUUGCAAAGUCUUGGCCUUACGUGAUGCAGUAAUGAGACAGGGUGAUUUAGACAGCUGACAUCCACGAUGCUAGCCUGGUGCCUCCUUGGAGUUUGUUUUUACUCUGGUCUCUUUCAAGGCUCCUAGAUCUUUUUGGUAUUAUGUGGGGAGGUUCUGUCAGGCGAUGGCUAAAUUAACUCUUGAUGAAAAUGCAUAGUAGGAGAAUUGAGCACAAGCUGUGUUCUCAACGGCAGAUCUUUCUGAUCUUGAACAAGAAAGCCCUGGCUUCUUCUGGGCUAGCCUGCCUUUGCUCACUACACACAGUUCCAGAAGCUAGUGACAGUCAUGAUUUCUUCCUUGAGCCAAGCCAUCAACAUAUAUAUGAAGGAGAGGCCUCUUGGCACCAAUCAGUAAGUCCAGUGGGAUGUGGUGUCAUGUGACUACAAUACCAGCACUGGAGAGAUGGAGACAAAAGGAUCAGGAGUUCAACCUCAUGUAGCUUCAGAUGGGAGCAGAGGCAGUUGAACACAUGGUGCAGAUCCAGCUUAUGUUAUCGAUGCUCAAAAAGUGGACAUCUCUACUUCCAUCUGUUUAUGCAGAGAGCUGAAUAAAAGCCUUCAUCUGAAAAGCAUCUCUCCACCGACACACACAGAAUUUAAAUACAAGUCCUCAUCGUCAUCUCUCCUC
rnacentral:lncRNA from 1 species